AUGGAGAUAGAGUCGGUCAAGUGUGAGUGCUGUGGCCUGAGGGAGGACUGCACCCAGGACUACAUUGCGAGCGUGAGAGCCAGCUUCUACGGCCAGUGGCUGUGCGGGCUGUGCUGCGAGGCCGUGAGGGACGAGGCCGGCAGGAAGAAGGCUCACCCCGGCGUGGAGGAGGCCGUGCGGGCGCACAUGGCGUUCUGCAAGAAGUUCAAGUCCAACCCCGCCGUCCGGGUCGCCGACGGCAUGCGCCAGAUGCUCCGCAGGCGGUCCGGUGACUUGUCCAAGCCGUCGGGCUCCUCCUCCAACAAGUACAGCACUGCGCAGGUCGGAGAUGAUUCAUCCGUGUCGCUAUAUUGA
rnacentral:rRNA from 1 species